AUACGGAGGGUGCAAGUGUUGUCCGGAUUUAUUGGGUUUAAAGGGUACGUAGGUGGAUUCUUAAGUCCGUGGUGAAAGCCCGCAGCUCAACUGCGGAACUGCCAUGGAUACUGGGAAUCUUGAAUUCAGUUGAGGUUGGCGGAAUUUAUGGUGUAGCGGUGAAAUGCAUAGAUACCAUAAAGAACACCUAUUGCGAAGGCAGCUAACUGGACUUGAAUUGACACUGAGGUACGAAAGCGUGGGGAGCAAACAGGAGUAGAAACCCCAGUAGUCC
rnacentral:rRNA from 1 species